rnacentral:ncRNA from 1 species
CUAGUCUGGCAGUGUAAGGAGACAUAAGAGGUGUAGAAUAAGUGGGAGAUAUUGUUCUUUCGGGUUCAUUAUAGCCAAUGAAAUAACACUACUCUAAUUGUUUUCUUACUUACUACUUUGUAGCCUACCGAAUACGAAAACAUCCCAGAGGCAUAACUAGAUUCAAAGUGGACCGACUGACCGCAUUUCGAAAGGACCUUGUUCUGGACGAACAAGAUUAAGUGGAGGGUAGUGUAUUCCAGAUAAGG